CCCGGAUAGCUCAGUCGGUAGAG
rnacentral:piRNA from 4 species